rnacentral:lncRNA from 1 species
GUCUAAAGUGGGCAAAACAGAUAAAAUACCAGCACUGGUUACUUCAGUAAGCUGUGCGAACAGCAAACAGAGCUUCAGAGGCAGAAAGGUCUCCUAAGUGAUUAAGGACUGAGUAAUCCAGUGAAGUCUCAUGAGUUCUGUCAGCAUAAGUGGCACGUAAUAGCAUUGUUGAAACUGGGAGCUCUUUCUUUGAGUGCCACAUAAUAAAGCCACUGCUGGACAACUGGACUGAGGUAAAAGGAUUAUCAGAUAUAUAUGUUUUUGAAGUCUUUGUUUCACAGGAGAGCCAUCAUCCAAGGCAACAUAAACUCUCCUUAUGUACUGAGCAGCCCAGUGCCAGAGGAGCAGAGUUGUGAAAGGUGAUUUCUUGUACAGAAGCCCGGUAAACUACAAUUCAUUUGUGGAUUUUUACCCUAGAAUCACUCCUAAAGAUUUAUUUGUAUUCAGACUUUGCUAGAUGUGCUCCCAAAGAGUUUCUUCUGUAGUUCUUCACUUGAGAAGGAUUCCCCUUCGAGUGCUUUGAGUCUGUACCAAAGUAGCAUUACCAAGAUCUGAUGAGGGGCUUUGCAGCUCCAGCCUCAAAUGAAUGUGUUGAUGUGCCUCAGGCACCUCGAUGGGGAACACGAUGAUCCUUAAAUGUAGAGCAUUGAGUCCUUGAAAUCA